rnacentral:rRNA from 1 species
GUGAUCUAGCCAUGGGCAGGUUGAAGGUUGGGUAACACUAACUGGAGGACCGAACCGACUAAUGUUGAAAAAUUAGCGGAUGACCUGUGGCUGGGGGUGAAAGGCCAAUCAAACCGGGAGAUAGCUGGUUCUCCCCGAAAGCUAUUUAGGUAGCGCCUCGUGAAUUCAUCUCCGGGGGUAGAGCACUGUUUCGGCUAGGGGGCCAUCCCGGCUUACCAACCCGAUGCAAACUGCGAAUACCGGAGAAUGUUAUCACGGGAGACACACGGCGGGUGCUAACGUCCGUCGUGAAGAGGGAAACAACCCAGACCGCCAGCUAAGGUCCCAAAGUCAUGGUUAAGUGGGAAACGAUGUGGGAAGGCCCAGACAGCCAGGAUGUUGGCUUAGAAGCAGCCAUCAUUUAAAGAAAGCGUAAUAGCUCACUGGUCGAGUCGGCCUGCGCGGAAGAUGUAACGGGGCUAAACCAUGCAC